rnacentral:rRNA from 1 species
AUUGAACGCUGGCGGCAUGCCUUACACAUGCAAGUCGAACGGCAGCACGGACUUCGGUCUGGUGGCGAGUGGCGAACGGGUGAGUAAUGUAUCGGAACGUACCUUUCAGUGGGGGAUAACGUAGCGAAAGUUACGCUAAUACCGCAUAUUCUGUGAGCAGGAAAGCAGGGGAUCGCAAGACCUUGCGCUGAUUGAGCGGCCGAUAUCAGAUUAGCUAGUUGGUGGGGUAAAGGCCUACCAAGGCGACGAUCUGUAGCGGGUCUGAGAGGAUGAUCAGCCACACUGGAACUGAGACACGGUCCAGACUCCUACGGGAGGCAGCAGUAGGGAAUAUUGGACAAUGGGCGCAAGCCUGAUCCAGCCAUGCCGCGUGAGUGAAGAAGGCCCUCGGGUUGUAAAGCUCUUUUGUCCGGAAAGAAAAGCGCCGGGUUAAUACCCUGGUGUCCUGACGGUACCGGAAGAAUAAGCACCGGCUAACUUCGUG